UUACAUCAUAUUGUCACAGCUGUUUUGCAAGAUGACUAAUUUAUGAGAAUAGUUCAAACAACGUAUCUGGAAGUAGAUUUUUAAAAAGAGAACAGAGUCUUCAAUUGCCAGUGAUUGUCUAUAGCUUUUACUUCCUCAAGACACCACUUUACGUUGUUUAUUCUGAUCCAGGCACAGUACAACUUCAUUUUAUUCUCCAAAUAAAAGACUGCUGAAGCUUCUGAGAAAAAGAAAAAAGCGAAGGAUCAUCUUUGAUCAUGCAGUGAGCUGAUUCCAAAAUGUGGACAAAAAGCAGACUCAAAGGCAAUGAUUCCGAGAAACAGUGAAUGUCACAAGGAGACACCUGGGCUCUUUAUAAAGAGGUCUCUCUCAGCCUCCCUGCGCUUAGGGACAGUGGACAGCACUGCAGCACUGCAGCACUGCACUUGGGG